rnacentral:misc_RNA from 1 species
AAGUCGUAACAAGGUCUCCGUUGGUGAACCAGCGGAGGGAUCAUUACCGAGUUUACAACUCCCUUCACAUGUGGACGAUCGAACAACCAUCAGGGUGGAGUGUGUGGAUAGGGAACAAUCGAACCGCCCUUCGGGGAGGGGAGACUCGCUAUCUCGCAACUAUGGCUCGGUCUAGGGCUCCUCGAGAGUCUAAUCCUGUGUGAAGCGAUGCGCGACCACCUGGCAGUAUGCCCCUUUGCAUGGUCUGCUUCGGCGGACUGUGGCUGUGGCAAGCGUUCUGCCGAAUCUUGUUUAACCCAAUUUUUUAACCCCUUUAACAACAUACUAAUAACUGAACCAUGUUUCAUUGAGACGCCCUGGCUUCGGCCAUGCAACGGCUCAUGAAUACGAUAUACGUAAUGCUGAACAACUCUUAGCAAUGGAUAUCUUGGUUCUC